rnacentral:tRNA from 1 species
ACGCCUGGCAGAGGAACUAACCAACCUGACUACGGAUCAGAAGGUUGGGGGUUCGAAUCCCUCCGGGCGCACCA